GAUAGUCCCCCGAAGAUGGCAGCAACCGGCCCGCUUUCAACUUAAGCUUUGGACAGCUAGGUGAACGCGCAUUAAUUCAGUUCGUGGAGCUAACGCAGCAUUCCCAGUUGGCGCGGCAGCCACAGAGUGAUUUCCGGAACAUAUGUGAUGAUGACAAGGAAGAUCAGCAACGUAAUCAGCCACGGCAUCACGGCCUUGGUCAGAUCGGUAAUGCCCAUCUUCGCAAUGCCCGCGGCAACAUAGAGAUUCAGCCCGACAGGCGGAUGGCAAAGACCAACCUCCAUAUUCGCGUCGAUCAUAAUGCCGAAAUGAACGGGAUCGAUGUUUAGCCGUUGCGAGGCCGGGAACAGGAUCG
rnacentral:misc_RNA from 1 species